CUACAGGGGUAUCUAAUCCUGUUUGAUACCCGCACUUUCGAGCUUCAGCGUCAGUUGUGCUCCCGCAAGCUGCCUUCGCAAUCGGAGUUCUUCGUGAUAUCUAAGCAUUUCACCGCUACACCACGAAUUCCGCCUGCGUUGCGCACACUCAAGUGAACCAGUUCGCGCUGCAAGUCAGACGUUGAGCGUCUACAUUUCACAACACGCUUAAUCCACGGCCUACGCUCCCUUUAAACCCAAUAAAUCCGGAUAACGCCGGGACCUUCCGUAUUACCGCGGCUGCUGGCAC
rnacentral:rRNA from 1 species